AGAGGGAACAGAAUAGGAGAAAUGAAAAACGUACUAAGAAAAUAAUCCUCUCAUGGUAGAUGUAAUAGCCUCUCACUAUUGAUUAUGCAUUACUCGCCAUGUGAGAAUGGUUAAGCCGAAGUAGAAGUGAAAAAGCAUCCGCAUUUCACCAUUUUUUCAAAUAUACGUCAUUCACGAAGUCCUUCCGUCCAGUUUCGAAGUAUAAUUUAGCCCAGAAUGUGAUUCAUAAUGAUAGCUUGUGACGUCAUAGGUGAAAGUGCAACAUGUUCACUUUACACUUCUAUUGCUAUCUAUUAACAAACCUAUAAACCUUAAAAGUAAAAUGGAGCCACAUUUCAUGAUAUAUAAUUAUAUUUUUACUUCGAAAGAGAGAGAAAGAAAACUGAAUAUUCCAAAAAAAGGAAAAAGAGGCAGGCUUAGAGGAAAAGCGGCACCAGCGCCGCUAGCAGACGACAGAGGGCAUCGCCACACCUCCCACCAGUCCUCAUCUUGUGCCUUUUCUUUGGUGUUUUCUGUUGCCUCCUUCCCCCAAAAUGAGGAGGACGAGUGUAUUUAUUCUCCUAGGGUUCCUGGGAUUAAUUUAUGGUGCUGGCAGUGCGCAUGGAACUGAUGCCCAGCUGGAAGGUAUACGAUGGAGGAUGUCGCCGCCCCCCAGGGGUACGUAGGAAGCCGUUUGUCAGUGAAAAAUGCUCUUAUGUACCACGCUGGGGAAUACAAGUGCACAUCCUUCAGCCCGCGUUCUCACACGGUUUAUGUUCUGAGUGGUAAGGCUGCGGAAUGGGGUUCCUGGUAAUUCCCAUAGGCUGUCACCCUCUGUAAAGGUUAUAUUAACCAUCCUUGCUCUUGCAGUACCUGUUGAACUCCCUGUAUCCUGAAGAAUAUCUUUUUUUUUAUUAUUUAUAUUUUUUCACCCUAUUGUAAUCCUUACAAUGUAAGUAGAUUGACUUUUAAUGAUAUGUAAGAGCUAGAUUAUGCAAAACAUUACUCUGAGCUUUGAUUUAUUGAUAGAGUAAUAGGUUUGUUACAGUAGACAUUUUUUAUUGAUUGAGCAGAACACGAAGUUACAUUUUUAUUGGUUUUGUUUCUUCAAUGGUUGGUUAUUAGCCUAUUCUUGCUGUUUCUUUGUUGUCAUUAUAAUACAGACUACCUCAACAUGAUUUUACACAUGGGAAAUCUUUUAACUUAUUCCUUCUUGAAAAUAUCACAAUCAACUAUCAUUGCAUUCGUUUGUUAUAAAUUAUUUAUGGUUCAACUUUUGUUGCCAAAAUAGAAUUAUAAACUACAA